rnacentral:rRNA from 1 species
GCAGUAGCCGCGGUAAUACGUAGGGUGCGAGCGUUAAUCGGAAUUACUGGGCGUAAAGCGUGCGCAGGCGGUUUUGUAAGACAGGCGUGAAAUCCCCGGGCUCAACCUGGGAAUGGCGCUUGUGACUGCAAAGCUAGAGUGCGGCAGAGGGGGAUGGAAUUCCGCGUGUAGCAGUGAAAUGCGUAGAUAUGCGGAGGAACACCGAUGGCGAAGGCAAUCCCCUGGACCUGUACUGACGCUCAUGCACGAAAGCGUGGGGAGCAAACAGGAUUAGAUACCCCUGUAGUCCCUGUCUCUUAUAC